AACAUAAGUUCGUAAAGGGAAAGAUUUAUCGGUAAGAGAUUAGCCUGUACGGUAUCAGAUAGUUGGUGGGGUAAUGGCCUACCAAGUCUAUGACACCUAACUGGUUUGAGAGGAUGAUCAGUCACACUGGAACUGAGACACGGUCCAGACUCCUACGGGAGGCAGCAGUGGGGAAUAUUGCACAAUGGACGAAAGUCUGAUGCAGCAACGCCGCGUGGAGGAUGACACAUUUCGGUGCGUAAACUCCUUUUAUAUGAGAAGAUAAUGACGGUAUCAUAUGAAUAAGCACCGGCUAACUCCGUGCCAGCAGCCGCGGUAAUACGGGGGGUGCAAGCGUUACUCGGAAUCACUGGGCGUAAAGAGCAUGUAGGCGGGUGAAUAAGUUGGAAGUGAAAUCCUAUAGCUUAACUAUAGAACUGCUUCCAAAACUGUUCAUCUAGAGUAUGGGAGAGGUAGAUGGAAUUUCUGGUGUAGGGGUAAAAUCCGUAGAGAUCAGAAGGAAUACCGAUUGCGAA
rnacentral:rRNA from 1 species